GGGUUGUUAGCUUAGUUGGUAGAGCAGGGCACUCUUAAUGCCAAGGUCCAGGGUUCGAAUCCCUGACGACCCACCA
rnacentral:tRNA from 1 species